UUAUCAUCCGCUAUCCUUAGCAAUGACAGCAAACAAAAUUGACCAUAACAAAAGUCUCCCUGGGUGGGGAGACUUUUUCAUCAGUU
rnacentral:sRNA from 1 species